UUUUCCUAUCUUUUUCUAUGAUGAUUUUCCUACUGUGAAGCUUUUCUUGAAUAAAGCUCAAUUUCUCUAUGACUACUGAAGUAAACAUCCUGAUGCAUUCUUGCCAUUUGAAUGUUGAGACCCUGUUCAUUUUUGAAAUAUCCUUUCUGUCAGACCUAUUUCACAGGAUCAGCUGAGAUGUUAUUUCACUGGAUUAUUUAAUGGAUAGGCUUAUUAGGUAUAUAGUUGGAUAUCUCUGGAUCAGCUGAGAUGUUAUUUCACUGGAUUAUUUAAUGGAUAGGCUUAUUGGGCAUAUAGUUGGAUAUCUCUGUCAUCAACAUGGAAGAUAUGGUUUGUUCCUAACCAUGUAUAAUCAAUUCUCUAUGAAGUUCAGACUGUCUGCUGUUCCUUUGGAAAUACACAGUAUAGUCAACCAACAUAGAAACACACAAACUUGAAGGGAAAGAAUACUAUAAUGUGACUCAUCAGAAUGACCAGAAAAGAAAUUUUAAUGACCCUCUUGACUAUGUAUAAAGACUGUAACCUUAUAACUGAUGUAAGAAGAUCUGAUUGUGUGGAAUUAAAAUUUCCUGGUGUUUCUACUACCCAAGAUCUUCUUAUGAGUGCAUGGGACUGCUGUGAACCUUCUCCUGUUUAUAAAAAUAUACCUUGGAGCAUGACAGAUUAUUCAUAAAAGGAUUCUCUAGUGAGGGCUUAUGGAAAUGAUUUAUGUCUACUCUUAGAAUGGUGAAAGACUAUCAGAUUAUGCAAAGAUUAACAGAAUAUCCUCUCUUGGAACACUGAAACAAGAAAACCAAACAGGAUGGAGGAUUUAAGAAGAACAUAAAUAAAUAUGAUUUCCAACCAAUUUAACCAGUACAAUCAUAGAAUGUGGUUUACAGGAUGACAAAGAAAGGAGCCAGAAUUGUAUCUUUCACUGUCAGACACUGACUAUGGAUAAAGUGUAAUCAUUUAUCAAACUGAGAUCUAGUCAUAUAAAGUAUUGAAAAUAUGAUUUUCAGAUAGCAUGAGCUCUUUAAAAACUAAUUCUCACAGACCUCAAAGUAUCUAAAUGUGACUUUUAUUUUUACCAAUUCAUAUUGAAGACUGUUGUUAUGUAUGGGAAUUACACAUUUAAACCUUUUACUUUUCAUUUUAUUUUUACAACCCCCUAGAAAUUACACAGAUAUCUAGAUACUGGAUUUGAUGUAAUUAUUUAACUUUCCUGGAAUUGUAAAUAUAUUUUGUUUAUGUAUGUAUCAUGUUUAAUUUUGAAUUUAAAUUGGGUCUCAAUAAGACCCCCAAUAAAGAUGCAAGUGUCCCAUAAUCUGUGAUUUAAUAAUAUCCUGAAUAUCUUUAUCAUACCAUAUUGUACAUACUUAUUACAUAUAGAAUGGUUGUAGGAAUACACUUUGUUGUUUAGGACACUUUGUCAAGGUCAAAGCAUAAGAUUAUUGAGAUGACUUCUUUGACAAUAAUUUGUAACUUACAAACUUCACAUCAUAAGUAGACAGAUAAAGAAUCAAUAAGAUAUUUCUAUAGAUUUUUUGGAUCAUUUACUCCUGGGUAAAAAUUAGUUACUGAGAUUACUGAUUUGAGUCCUGUAAUGCAAUAACUUACACAUUGUAUAAUAACUUAUAGACUUUAUAACAAUUAGGUGCAAAUUCUUAGGAAAGGAUUGAAAUGUUAAUCAAAUGAACAAUGUUCAAGGGUGUUUAUAUGACUAUUGCUAUGUAACACCUAGGGUCUCUGUAAAAAUCCUAUAUUCACUACAUAGAUAAAGACUGGUAUAAUAUAUAUUUUAAACUAUUAUGAAGGAAAAAAAGUCAAAAACUCUCCCCUUCAUAUCUUUCAUAUUCUGUCAUACACAACAAUAGAUAAAUUGCAGUCAUUUAACAAACUGAGGUCUAAUCAAAUCCUAGAAUUGAUAUUGUGAUUUUCUGAUAGUAUGAGAUCUUCAAAAAAAAAAAAUAAUAAUAAUUCCCAGACUUCAAAGUAUCUAAAUGUGACUUUUAUUUUUACCAAUUCAUGUUGAAGACAGUUGUUAUGUAUGAGAAGUAUACAUUUAAACCUUUUAUUUUUCAUCUUAUUUCUGCAACCCCUAACAAAUUACACAGAUGUUUAAAAGCUAGCUUUGGUGUAAUAAUUACUUUCCUGGAACUGUAAAUACAUUUUGCUUGUGUAUGUGUGUGUGUCCUAUUUUGAAUUUAAUAGGUCUCAAUAGGACCCCCAUAAAGAUGUUAGUGUCCCCUGAACUGUGAUGUAAUAAUAUCUUGAAUAUUUCUAUCAACCAUUAGACUUCAUGCUUACUACACAGAACAGGUUAGAGUAAUACACUUAGUUUUAUAGGACACUUUGUCAGGGUUAAAGCAUGAGAUUAUUGAGUUUACUACCUUUGACAAUAAUUUGUAAUCUGCAAAAUUCACAUCAUAAGUAUAGAAAGAUUCGGAGAUUUUCUAUAGAUCUUUGGAUCAUUUUUUCUCCUGGGUAAAAUGUAGUUGUUGUAACUUUAACAUUUUGUGAAACCUAGAGACUUUAUAUCAGCUCUAUUGGGUGGCAUAGCAUACUCUUUGGAAAGAAUUGAAAUGUAAAUCAUAUGCACUAUGUUCAAGGAUGUUUAAAGACUAUUACUAUGUAAUACCUUAGAAUUCUGUAAAAAUUUUAUUAUCACUGCGAAGAUAAAGACUGGUUGGAAUAAUUUAUGUUUUGAAAUAAGGUUUAGGGAAAAAAGUCAAGAAUGUGGAUAUGACUUUAAUUCAAAUGGUGCAGUACAGCAACUCUGGUGAUUUACAUACCUUCAGUCAUAAAUACAUGUAGAUAUGUAUUGGGAAGACUCCUCUAGAUUUUGAAAUUUUUAAUUCAAAAGUAUAGAAUUUUUUUUAAGUUUGAAAGAUUAAAUGGCAGCAUAUCAUAUGCUUGUGAAUUAAAAAUAAAUCCAAACAUAUACAUCUUUGGAUGAUAAUUGUAGAAUUUUAUCAAUUCCUGGACUUCUGUCUUGAUAUCAUCCUUUAAUGCCCUUAAAAUUUUAAUGACUGUCUUUUAGUUUUAGUUGAAUUAGUUUGUUUUCUACAUGUGAAAAUGACAUCAUCCAAAGAAGUAGUUCAUCUGCAUGUUAUAUGAAGAAGACAAUUUUUCAUCACAGUGAAAGAGAUUGUUUUGUUAAAUAUAAUGCAUUGAUGCACAAAUAUACUUUUAGAUUUUUAAUAGCUAGGGUUCAUAUUUCUUAAUAUGGAAUGCUAUGUACUGUUGAUUUCAUUUUUUUUUCUGAAAAAAGACAUACUAGUAGAAAAAAAAUAUACAUGGUGUGUUAGAAAAGCAUGUGUAAACCUGAUGACUUUAUAAUUGCUGAUUAAAUCAAUUAUGAGUUUCAUCUUUGUUACAUUGUAAACAUUUCUAAGUAGGGCACACAUCAGAAACUCUUUAAAUUCUGAGUAUCAGGGUUUAACACAACAAUUCCAAAUGAUUUUGGGACGCUUUUUAUGUAUCAAAAAAAGACAAAACAGAAUGUUUGUUCACAGAUGUUCCAGUGGAAAACAAUCACAAAGAAAUGAUUUGAUAUGUUCUUUAUGUGAUUCAUGUAAAAUGUUUUUUUUUUUUUUUUUAAAUUGUACCCUAACAUUUAUCUUUUGCAUAAAUACAUGUUUUGUUGAGAAUAUCUCAUAACUUUGAAAAAAGUAGUCUUAUUGUAUAAUAUGGUAAACUUAAAAUUUUGUAGACUUAAAAGUUGUACAUUAUGUGUUACACAUCUUACAUGUAACCAUUUCAUUUCAGGGCAUUCAGCAUAUAUUGUGGUUUUGUCUUAAAUUUGUUUGUUCAUGUAAUCAAUAAUUUGAGAAUACUCAAGUUAGGUAAUGCAUGAGAGAAUAGGCAAGAAAAUCAGGUUUAAGAAAUGGUUUUUACUAUUUAUAAGGGUUUAAUCUGUAUAUUGAAUCUAUAAGUACAUUUAGUCUAUACAAUUAAGGUAUUUGUAUAUGAAAUAAACUUGCAUUUGAGCAUUUUAAGACAAUUGUAAACAUUACUUUAACUAGUUUUAAAAAAUGAUUAGAUUCACUGUCAGCAUGUUAUUUCUUGUAAAAUAAAUGAGAAAACAAACAAUUUAA